rnacentral:pre_miRNA from 1 species
AGAGGAAUAGCUGGGUCAAAUAGUGGUUCCAUUCUCAAAUUUCCAAGGAAUCUCCAUACUGCUUUCCAAAUUGGCUGCACCAAUCUGCAAUCCCACCAGCAAU